rnacentral:lncRNA from 1 species
AUGAGAAAAAGAAAGGAAGAAAAAAAAAAGAAAAAAAAAGAAGAAAAAGAGAAAGGAAAAGAAAGGAAAAAAGGGGGUGGGGAAGGAAACAAAUCAAAAAGCAAAACAAAACAAAACAAAACAACAACCAAAAUAAAAAGAAAGAAAAAAAGAACCACGGGGGAGUAUCUUCUGCUUCUGUGUACGUUAAGUCCCUUGGCUUCCCCUGGACCUUGUCCAUCUAGCUGGUCUUCUGGGGGAGGGGCCUGUUGUGCUGAUUUUCAGGUGUUAGCAGUUGGGGGAGCUGCUGUGCCCCUGCCUGGUGCAGGGCUCAGUGGGGGUUGUUUACCCCGUGAGGCCCCAGGAGCAACAGCCCCAGUGGCGAGGCCAGCUCUGGAAACCUGGAUUCAGCUCAGGCAGGAAUUCCGGAGCUCUCCGUCUGCAGGGCCUGGAGGCUCCGGGGCGGGGCCGCUGAUCUGCUCAGCUCGGGGCAGGAGCGUCCUUGCUGUCCUGGGCCCUCCCGGCCUCUGCCUGUCCCGGGGGAGGCCGGAUCCUGGGCUGUGUCCCGGCGCCCUGUGCUCCGGAGCCUGCGCUGUUGGAUUCGCGCUCCCGGCCCGCAGUCCCCUCCGCGGAGCCGCCCCCGAGCCCCUCCGAGCUGCUCCUGGAACCGCGCAACCCCCUCCGCGGAGCCUCUUCCUCCGCCCGAGCCCCUCCGAGCUGCUCCCGGGGCCGCGCAGCCCCCUCCGCGGAGCCGCCCCCGAGCCCCUUCAGCUGCUCCGGGUCCCGCCGUGCGCGCUGCAGCCCUUAGGGAGCUCGGCGCACUCUCCCGGGGCGCAGUUGCUCUGUUACUGUCCCGGGGAGCCCGAGGGCAUCCCCGCCCUCCUGGGUCCUGCUCCACCUCCCCGCGAGCCCCUUUCCGCCGGGAAGGUCGGUGCAGCUCCUGCUCCUCCGGGACGGGGCUCUCCUGUCCUGGGGACACUCGCCCCGGCCUCAGCCCGGCUCCUCGCGGGGCCCCUCCCCUUGGAGGCCUUUGUUUCUUUACUUCUUUUUCCCCGUCUUCCUACCUUGAUAGAUGCGCGAACUCUUCUCACUGUAGCAUUCCAGGUGUUCUCUCGUUAA